UUUCCCUAGUCACUGUGCUUCUGCAUCUGCAUUGCUUCCUCUUUGUGGUUGUAGACUGGGUUUCUGUAUAGCACUUCGUGACAACUGCUGAUUGUUUGCAGAACAACGAGACAACCUUACUAUUGUGAUGAACAUCUGUCAUGAGAUCGUUGAAGCGUGAACAGUGGCAUGAAGGUAUAUUCAUCUCUGUAGCCAGCCAAGCGACCAUUGGUGUAAAUUACAUCACAGGUAAGUUUAGGACACAUCGUCUCUCCUCUUUCUCUCUGUCUCAAAAACAAUUGACAGAUACUGAUACACAGAACACAAAUGGGUACAUUUAAAAACUACUUUCCUUUUGUUACACAUGUGGAACGGCUCUGGAUUAUGUUACUACUUAAGUGCCCCUCCUGCUCCUCCUGCCCCUCCUGCUCCUCCUGCCCUCCUGCCCCUCCUGCUCCUCCUGCCCCUCCUGCCCCUCCUGUCCCUCCUGUCCCUCCUGCCCCUCCUGCCCCUCCUGCUCCUCCUGCCUCUCCUGCCCCUCCUGCUCCUCCUGCCCCUCCUGCCCCUCCUGCUCCUCCUGCCCCUCCUGCCCCUCCCAUAAUAUUCCAUGCCAUGGUCUGUGUCACUGCAUUAUUGGUAGGCUUUUUGUGAUAAGGGUCGUAACCGCUUGACCAGAUUCAGUCUUUGGUGGUUAGCAGACCCAUCAGUGACCGUAGUUCUCUCUGCUUUAUCAUUGAAUCUCUAUUUGACAAGCCUCAGCCAAACAGGCAACGUGGUUUUGUUAUUCAAACAGGGCUCUGUCUCAACAAGUCUUUGAAGUCACUCUCUACAAAGAGGGCCAGUACUGCCAUUACGGGGCUAGUUGUUGGGGAAUAUGAGUCAUUGAAGGCAGAUGAAUCUAUGCCAAAACAGUGUUAGCUAGGCCUGCGGCUAUGGUGAGGAAUCGGUCAUGCCAUCAUGCAAUAUGAAAGACCUUAUUGACAAACUGAUGGAUUGUUUGCAUUGAAUUUAAGAGAGGGUGGAGGGCUGAUUUGGUAGCCUAAAUCAUUUAGAAUCUGUCAUGUGAUGGAAUUUUCCCAACUUGAGCCUGUUCAUUGACUACCCUAUGAAAAAGUAUGUCUGUAGUGCUUUCUGACUUGGCAGAGGGACAAUAGUGCAUUGAUGAUUAUUUGUAUAUCCAUACAGAACCUCUCAGUCUUAGUCCAGUAUAGAAUCUGAAAUAUAACAGGAAGUACUAAACUGCUCCAUCCCAAACCGCCUCAUGAUGGACUAUUGGUCUUACUGUUCGUAUUCAUCUUUCAAUCUUUUUAUUGUUUGCUUCUUAAGUUACACAUUGUAUUGUAUGUUUUUAUGACGUUGUAUGUUUGAAUGUUGAGCAUUUUAUACAUUUGAAAAAGAGGCUUUGGUCUCAAUGGGACUCCCUGCUAAAAUAAAGGCUAAAUAAAAUCUACAGCAUUUUUACUA